rnacentral:rRNA from 1 species
GAUGAACGCUGGCGGCGUGCUUAACACAUGCAAGUCGAACGGUGAACGAGGGAGCUUGCUCCCUCCGGAUCAGUGGCGAACGGGUGAGUAACACGUGAGCAAUCUGCCCUGGACUCUGGGAUAAGCGUUGGAAACGACGUCUAAUACCGGAUACGAGACGCGAAGGCAUCUGCAGCGUCUGGAAAGAACUUCGGUCCAGGAUCAGCUCGCGGCCUAUCAGGUAUUUGGUGGGGUAAUGGCUCACCAAGCCUACGACGGGUAGCCGGCCUGAGAGGGUGACCGGCCACACUGGGACUGAGACACGGCCCAGACUCCUACGGGAGGCAGCAGUGGGGAAUAUUGCACAAUGGGCGCAAGCCUGAUGCAGCAACGCCGCGUGAGGGACGACGGCCUUCGGGUUGUAAACCUCUUUUAGCAGGGAAGAAGCGAAAGUGACGGUACCUGCAGAAAAAGCACCGGCUAACUACGUGCCAGCAGCCGCCGUAA